GCUCGUUAAUGAGUGAUGGCGUGCCUUUUGUAGAAUGAACCGGCGAGUUACGAUUGCAUGCGAGGUUAAGUCGAAGAGACGGAGCCGCAGCGAAAGCGAGUCUGAAUAGGGCGAAUGAGUAUGUAGUCGUAGACCCGAAACCAUGUGAUCUACCCAUGUCCAGGUUGAAGGUGCGGUAAAACGCACUGGAGGACCGAACCCACGUACGUUGAAAAGUGCGGGGAUGAGGUGUGGGUAGCGGAGAAAUUCCAAACGAACUUGGAGAUAGCUGGUUCUCUCCGAAAUAGCUUUAGGGCUAGCCUCGGAAUUGAGAAUGAUGGAGGUAGAGCACUGUUUGGACUAGGGGCCCAUCUCGGGUUACCGAAUUCAGAUAAACUCCGAAUGCCAUUCAUUUAUAUCCGGGAGUCAGACUGCGAGUGAUAAGAUCCGUAGUCGAAAGGGAAACAGCCCAGACCACCAGCUAAGGUCCCAAAAUAUAUGUUAAGUGGAAAAGGAUGUGGGGUUGCACAGACAACUAGGAUGUUGGCUUAGAAGCAGCCACCAUUUAAAGAGUGCGUAAUAGCUCACUAGUCGAGUGACCCUGCGCCGAAAAUGUACCGGGGCUAAACAUAUUACCGAAGCUGUGGACUACACCAUUAGGUGUAGUGGUAGGAGAGCGUUCUAAGGGCGUUGAAGGUCGAUCGUGAGGACGGCUGGAGCGCUUAGAAGUGAGAAUGCCGGUAUGAGUAGCGAAAGACAGGUGAGAAUCCUGUCCACCGUAUGACUAAGGUUUCCUGGGGAAGGCUCGUCCGCCC
rnacentral:rRNA from 1 species